ensembl:lncRNA
CUUACUCAAGAAAUCAAACAAGCAACCAUGUUUCUAUAGAGCUUUAUUAAUUCAAUGAUACAUAUAUUAUAAAAAAUUACAUUGUUUGCAAACUGAUAUGUGUCACAUAUUAAUGCCAAAAUAACAUGCAAAACAAGCAAGCCACCAUUUUUGGGUGGGAUUUGAUUUAUGUUGGUAAAGAUUUGGGGCUCAUAACAGCUCCACCUGCCCUGAAUCACUGCACCCAUAAGUGAUUCGUUGAGAGCCCUGCAAUAAUGAGGCUGGUCGACCCCACACUCUUGAGUGUUGGGCCAAGAGCUCUGACAUACAGAAACCAACAGAGGUCUCAUAUAGUAAACCUAUUAAUGCUUAGUCAUGGCUGGUUCCACCACAACUGACUCAAUGUGUCGAACCAACACAUAUCUAGUGGAUGAGGUGGCCAACUAGUCAGAAUCCUCUGUGUUCUCUUACGAGACCCAAGAACUGUUGGUUCUUAGAAUAGAGGAUGAGGAGAGACUUUGUUCGGAACAGACAAGAUGUGCACAGCCGUGGUGAAUUAGGUACAGAGUUAUGUGAAAACAGCCAUUUACACAACCAGAGUAACACGAGAUGUGGACAGCCGUGGUGAAUUACGUACGGAUUUAUGUGAAAACAACAAUUUAUGCAACCAGAGUAACACGAUUGUACACACCUAUCAUUUAAAGUAAUGCAACUACACAUUUUUCAUACCAAACACCCUGGAUAGAGAGGUUUACACACUAGAGAGAUAUUCAUACCAAACACCCUGGAUAGAGAGGUUUACACACUAGAGAGAUAUUCAUACCAAACACCCUGGAUAGAGGUGUUUACACACUAGAGAGAUAUUCAUACCAAACACCCUGGAUAGAGAGGUUUACACACUAGAGAGAUAUUCAUACCAAACACCCUGGAUAGAGAGGUUUACACACUAGAGAGAUAUUCAUACCAAACACCCUGGAUAGAGAG